rnacentral:rRNA from 1 species
GACGAACGCUGGCGGCGUGCCUAAUACAUGCAAGUCGAACGCACAGUUUAUACCGUAGCUUGCUACACCAUAGACUGUGAGUUGCGAACGGGUGAGUAACGCGUAGGUAACCUGCCUGGUAGCGGGGGAUAACUAUUGGAAACGAUAGCUAAUACCGCAUAAUAUUGAUUAUUGCAUGAUAAUUAAUUGAAAUGUGCAAUUGCACCACUACCAGAUGGACCUGCGUUGUAGUAGCUAGUAGGUGAGGUAACGGCUCACCUAGGCGACGAUACAUAGCCGACCUGGGAGGGUGGUCGGCCACACUGGGGCUGGGACACGGCCCAAACUCCUACGGGAGGCAGCAGAAGGGAAUCUGCGGCAAUGGACGGAAGUCUGACCGAGAAACGCCGGGUGAGUGAAGAAGGUUUUCGGAUCGUAAAGCUAUGUUGUAAGAGAAGAACGGGGGUGAGGGUGGAAAGUUCACACUGUGACGGUAUCUUACCAGAAAGGGACGGCUAACUACGUG